UGAAGAACGAUAAGAAAGAAUGAAAAAAGAUAAUAUGGUUGUUAUCUUAUAUAUUAAAAGGAAUACAUUUAUUUUGAAAACUAUUUAAUUAGUGAAAUCCUCCCUUGAAUCAGAGAUCAAUAUUUUCAUGUACACGUCAAAAAAAAUUGAAAUUAAAGAAAGAAAUGUGAAAAAGGAAAAAGAAAAUUAAAAAAGGCAAUAUACCUAUUUGUGUGCAACUCAAUCUGUGUAAUUUCAUAAUUGGGAAAAAAUAUAGAAUUAAUCUUGAAAACUCCUAUUGAUACUACCUUUACUUUGUCGGCCACAUUGACAUUCUCGUGGACACGGCUUAACUAAUUUGUUAUUAAUAAGACUUGGAUAAAAGCAAAAAAAGAAAAAAAGAAAUUGAAGAAAGAAGAUCAGAUGUACUGGAAAUUUGUUGAGCCGCCAGUCAUCAUAUAUAGCAUAUUUGAUCUUCAGCAAGAACCGAUCGAGAAGCACAGAAGAUACAAAAACCCUUUGCAGAAAAAGUUUAUCGUUCUCCUGAAAAAUCAAAUAUAAGAAUUAGUAAGAAAGAUAAGAGAGAUAUCAUAGACAGAAUCAUACAAAGUAUAACAAACAAAUUUGAGGAAUUCUUUAUUGUCUUGCUACAAACACAAUCAAUGACAGUUUUUUGAGAAACUGAUUGAUUUCUUUAGAGACAUUAAUUGAGGAUUUCUUCAAUUUUGGUAUAGAAGUGAUUUCUUCAAUUUGAUGUGUUCUCUCAUGAGGAUGGAGAUGUACGAAGGAUAGAUGCAAUAGAGACUAAAUGCUUGACGGGGAAGACAUUGGAGAAUGGUAUUUCUCUUGUUCUCAGUGAUUUUGUAUAGCGCAUCUUUAUUUUUUUUUUUUUUUAAAACCCCUCCCAAAUUAGGAGGAUAUAUAGGGUUUCCACACUUCCCCUCCAGGGUGACUCGAUCCCAGGACCUAACGAUCGUAGGUGGAGGUGCUUACCAACUAGCAAGCCUCACUUAUCCGCAUCUUUAUUCAGUCUCUUGUUUAUAGUUUCUUGUACUCUUUUAGAUCCAACAAGAGUGACGGGAUCUCAGUAUAAAGGUAGAGCAUCUAAUCUUUGAUUGAAAAAUUUACGCUAUCAGCUGAUGCAUCAUUUCAAACAAAUUAGACUCAUAUUCUACCUUUUUUAUUUAAUUUGACCUCUUUUUAAGACAAGAGGGGUUGCUCUGAUGG
rnacentral:lncRNA from 1 species